CUGUCACUCUUGUUGGACACUAAAAGCUUGAGCCUAGGUCAUCCUGGAAUUUCCUGGCAUCACAAAACAAUAAAGAGCCCUUCAGAUGAUUUGAGCAAUAGAACUGGUAGGUUGGGAUGGAUAGACCCUCAAAAGGUUAUGUCAUCCUUCCCCCUACCUUCAAGCAGCCCGUCACCAUGCCCUAGCUGAUUCCUGAUGAAUGAUGUUCUGUGCUGUUUUAAGUAAAAUACAGGGAAGAACUUCCCCUUAACUCAGAGUUGCUGGAUUUCAGUUUUCGGUGGCUACAGUUUGGGCUUUCUGUGUCCCCUUCUCUUACAGAAGGGGGGCUGGUCUCCCUCAAAAGUAGAAUCAUGCAAUGUUCUGUCCUCACAGACCUUUCCAGGAAAAUGGGGAGAACUAAGGGGCCGAGUUGUAAAUCCAUGCAGCAUCAAACAGUCCCAGGAAUCAGGAAGUCCUUCUUUUUGCCCUGGACCAGAGUAUAUAAGGUAAACAGUGAGCAUUCUGGGAACUGUGAUGUGGACAAGGGCUGGACUGAAAGAGGACACUCGGCACUCAGGACAAGGACUUCCAAUUUGAAUGAUACUUCAUCCUCACUGGCCAAGACCUUUCUUCUUUCUCAAACUCCUUUUUCCUCAAAUUCAGUCACCAGCUAACACGUCCUUCCCAUCAUAUUUGUAUCGACCUCAAAGAAUAAACCCCCCAGAGAAUUAUGGUUUAAAUAUAUGCACUCAGCUACCACACACAUCCUGUUUCUAAAAUAAAUGGGAACCAUUCUGUC